rnacentral:rRNA from 1 species
GUGUCAGCCGCCGCGGUAAUACGUAGGACACAAGCGUUAUCCGGAGUUACUGGGCGUAAAGGGCGUGUAGGCGGACCUAUAAGUCUAUUCUGAAAGCUCCUGGCUAAACUGGGAGAGGCGAAUGGAGACUGUAGAUCUAGAGUGAGGAAGAGGAAAGUGGAAUUCCGCGUGUAGUGGUGAAAUGCGUAGAGAUGCGGAGGAACACCAGUGGCGAAAGCGACUUUCUGGUCCUUAACUGACGCUGAGGCGCGAAAGCAUGGGGAGCGAACGGGAUUAGAAACCCGGGUAGUCC